GAGAUCUUCCUCAUGUUCCCCAAUACCAAUUAAUGAAAAAAUAAAAAAUAAAAAGAAAAAGAAAAAGGAAAAAAGAAAGAAAGAUUGACCCAUAUAGCCAAUUUAUGGAUCUAAUCUGGAACACAAUUAAUAAGUACCCUCUUUCAAUUGCCUUCGGUGCCAAGAAGGAAAACCAUGCAUUUAUUACCACUAAUGAAACCUCCACCAAUUCCACUAUAUAAAUAUAUAAAUAUAUAUAUGGAGGCCAGCAAUCCAAAUUCCAACUACAACCCAAUAUUCUAUUUCUUCUAAAGGGUCUAACGCAGUAUUAUUGUGAACUACUUCAAUGGUGGUCGUCGGUGUUCGUUGCUUGAGCUUUGCUGUUUUAUUAAUGGCCGGAAUUCUGGCAUUGGGUAACUCAGGUGUUCGGGCUCAAUGCGAAGCAAGCAUCCCAAGUCUGAUAGCAGAAUGUCAGCAAUACGUGUCGAAAACCGGUCCAAAUAUUCCACCGUCGGCGGGUUGUUGCUCGGUUGUGAAGGACGUGGACAUACCAUGUGUUUGUAAAAUGGUCACAAAGGAAGUCGAACAGUUGGUUAGCAUGGAGAAGGUGGUCUUUGUUGCCAGAAGUUGUGGGCUGAAAUAGACAAAGGAUUCAAAUGUGGAAGUUAUACGGUUCCAGAUGCACAUGGAAGGAAUGCAUGAGAAUGGGAGUUUUGAGCCGUUAUUAGGAUUUUCGUGCAUUAUGGUUUAUGAAUGAGACUUCAUGUAGCCAAUGAUCCUUACUAAUGAAAUAAAAUAAAAUAAAAACAUUUUUUUUUUCUUUU